ensembl:lincRNA Mirg miRNA containing gene
CAGUCAAUUGUAAGGAGCACAGUUCUGGAACCACAGCUUCUGGGGAAGGAGGAGUCCUAUCUGUCGUAUCUACCAGCAACCCUCGACGUUAUCGAGAGAGAGUCUAGGAAUUCAAUUUGUCAUUGGAAGAAUCUUCUGGAAGGAGAGAGGACAGUAGACAAGAGGCCCCGGUUUUCCUGUCAGAGAUCUCUGAGAAUAUUUGAGGGCCCCCUGCACAAGCGAUAUGAGACUGCCUGCCUUGUGUGAGCCUUGGAUGAGCCCUGCAGCUCCUUCGAGAUGCUCCUUGGAUAUUCCUGAUGGAGAAGACCAACCCCGAGGAAGCUUGGUCCUGCUUGCGAUGAGCUUGCUGUGCUUUCACGGACACCCUUCGUUUCUUCUACCAGUUUUCAGUGCCAGGGUGCGCUUGAAAGGAGAGCUGAUGCCAGGGCUAUAGCCUUCCCCAGCCAGAGCAUGUGGGCCAAACCCUUUCUGGAUGGCUAGGCAGUGGGGAGAAGCCAUGAGAUGGUUGAGAAGUAGUCACAACUCCCCUGGGGACAGACUGGUUUUCAGGGUUACAUCCAUUCAAAAACACCCCCCGGAAUUCAGGCUUGUGAAAGACAAGCUAACUUGACCCUGUUCCUUUGUUCUCACUGAGGUCCUGUCCCUGGCAUCCCCUUCCUCCUGUGGACACCACUGAGGUGCAGACACUACCCCGAUGGGGCUUCCCGUCCUGCUGUUCGGCUCUGGAAGAGACUUGAUUCCUUUUCUUUUUGUGCUGGUGGAGAUCACACACAAAAGGGAUGAUGCCGGUGGCGGACAGGAAGCCCAGCUCCUGCCGCCUGGAUGACUCUUCCCUUGGUGGGGACCAAUCCUGGAUGGAAUCAGUUCAAGAUGGAUGCCAGCUUCAUACAAGAGCCCUAUCAGGAUUGGCCUGAGAGAGAAGUGCUAUCAGCUACUAAAAGUGAAUACUAAAUGGCCUAUCUAUGUCAGAGGGAAGCCCAAAGCCCAGGAAGAAAUGAUGGACCAGAAACAACAGGACAUGCUCGUAAGGAAGACUUGCUGCAUGGUGGAUGGCCCAGAGACGGCGGGGCUCACAGAUGGUCACGUUUAGUGCUUGCAGAUUGGUAAUGCCUGUGCCCUUGGCUUUGUUUAUUCUGGUCAACCAGUUGUCAGUGCUGCCAUCGAGGGCUUUCUGGACAGCAUGGCACCUUCCGUAAGGAGACCUUGGCUUCAGUAGCUAGUCCAGAGAUGAGACAGUGGGAGUGGAGGAUCACCUGGGAUCAUGUAGAGCUCAAUGAACCUUCUCUUGAUUCAUAUGAGGAUGCUAGUAGCCUUGGUUGGGCUUUUCUGCAGUGGGACUUUUAUAGUCCCCUCAGGACCUUGAUGUGACUAACCAUAUGUGCACCAUUGAGAAAUGCAAGUCCCCAUUCACAUACCCCAGGGUCUAUAUACCUGCAGAGGACUUCUGACCUACAGCAAGUGGGCUCCCUUCUCAUCUUGAAAACCUUCCAGUGUGAACUCUAGAACCAAGGAAGACAGAGAAAGGGGACAAUGUCAGCAUCGUUGCAAGGGAGUACCAAAUGCUACCUCUAAGGAUUUCCUGGACAUGAUGGCAACUUGCAGAAAGAUGGCGGUUCAGUCAAGCUGGUAGAGAAGCCAAGUAUGGAUGUUUGGCCACGGACAGUGUGCUUGAGCUAGCUGUAAGUCACCUGGUCGGGUUACCUGAGCAUCUGAUCCACCUGUAGGCCUCUCAUCAGUGGGCCGUGCCAACCUUGGUGAGGCAGCUGUGGCUCUGCCCCCAAGUAUCAGCUUACAAGACUUUGAAAAGAGGUCAUCUUCCGGAAGAGAUGUUGGUGCCAGCACCAUUCAGGGUGUGUGACUGGUUGACCAGAGGGGCGUGCACUCUGUUCACCCUGUGGGCCACCUAGUCACCAACCCUCAGCAUCAAUUCCACUCAAAGAAGACUUUCCAGAGAUCCUACCAAGUUUGGGGAUAUGUCAAUGGACUUGAUGGCUGUGCCUGCUCAGUGGACCAGGAUGAACUGUGGUCUUAGGGGUGUAUGUUUACAUAAGAUGCCAUGAGGCAUCCGUGGUAGCUGCUGCAUCACUGUCACAGCCUCCUUGAAAUGUUGACUUCAGAUGUGGACAUGAUGUUGACUUCCCAUGAGGGACCUGAAGUCCCUUCUCUCCUGGGAGAGUCUGUGAGAUGAUACCAACCUCUAGAAGCAGGCAUGGUUGUCCCGACAUCGCCACACUACCACAGGAGCUUCCAGAAUACAUUCUCUUCAUGGAAACUGUGGAACCACGCCCCCUCUGGUCCAGGAGGACUAACCAGAUUCAAGGCUAUCACCAUCCCCCUUCAGGACAGUGGAAGCAGCCACCUUUUCGAGAGAGUCGAUGUGUUCUUCACCAGUGUUCUUCGCCAGUGAUCAUGUGUGAUACUUGGAGAGAGGCUGGCCGUGAUGAAUUCGAUUCAUCUAAACGAGUCAUACACGGCUCUCCUCUCUUCUAGUGUCAAACUCUGCCUCAGAGGUCUUCUCAAGCCACUACUGUUCCCAAGGAUGCCUAAUUGCAAUGCCAGCUUCUGGGGUGAACAUGGACCCACUGUCAUCGGGCAAGGUCUAGGAUGGACAUGGAGACCCACCAUCUGGGAGAUUCCAGAGUGGACGUGAACCCACCAUCAUCAGGCAGCUUCAUGGAGUAUUCAGAAGCUGGCGGGUGUCACCUGGAGGAUGUGACUGGGUACCAGUGCCAGAGCACGUGCCCACUGAGCAGUCUUCUUCACUUUCCUCGAUCCUCAUGAAACAUUCCGGGAUCUUUACCUCAAAGGACUCCAGAGGCUACAUCAUUGUCUUGGAACUGGUCAGUGGCUGGAGCUCUCUCCAGGACAAGUGCUUGGAGGAAGAACCUGGACAAGCUUCCCUCCCCAUACUGUUGACUGGAUCUUGUAGCUACCGUUAGCCACCAUCAUCGCCAUUGUGUGCCUCUUAGGAGCAUUUCCAGGAGGUGAUGCCAGCUGGGGAAAGAGCCUCUGUCCCACAGCCGUCGGUGCCCGCUGCAGCCUGCGCCCAGGAUGUCACAGCCUCAGCUCAACACCUCUGCUGGACAGCUUCAGGUGGUGAUUCCAGCUCCAGGGUUGCUGCGGUCAACACUGGGUACUUGAGGAGAGGUUGUCUGUGAUGAGUUCGCUUUAUUAAUGACGAAUAUAACACAGAUGGCCUGUUUUCAAUACCACCUGCCACUCCGGUCACUCGGCAGUACAUACCAGGUGUCACACCACUGCCCGGCAGGUGACAACGCUGAAUUGGUCCUCAGGAGCGGAUGUUCAAGGAACCCUGCCUAUGCACCAUGCUAGCUGCCAGUCCUAGGUUGGGACAUUCCACUGGGGACAUCCAUGGGAGAGCUAUGGCCAUUAACAAGUCCUGAGCCCUGACCUGAAGCCAUCAGUGGCCUAGCUGCUCUACCUGACUUUGUGGCCUCCCUUCCUGGAUCUCUCGCUUACGACAACCGACAACAAAGAUGUUUGACUCCAGAAGAUGCUCCCCGCGGCCCACCUGAGAGGACUGUCCACACCCCACCCCACUGCGCCCUGUGCCAUCUACCUCUGAGUCCCCAACUUCUCACCCAUGUUUCAACUCCCACCCCAGAGCCUUGUAUUCCAGAUCUGAGCAGCCCUUGCUUAGGAACCUGAGGUGGGGGGUGGGUAGGCAGACCCAGGGGACUGAGCAGGGAGGGGAAGGAGGGGUUUCUGCUCUUGGCUUUCAAAGUUCUCAGUGUGUGUAGCCCUUUGAAUAAUAAACAUAUGUCAUAUAAUGUAAA